UACGAAGGGGGCUAGCGUUGCUCGGAAUCACUGGGCGUAAAGCGCACGUAGGCGGUUUACUAAGUCAGGGGUGAAAUCCUGGAGCUCAACUCCAGAACUGCCUUUGAUACUGGUGAGCUUGAGUCCGGAAGAGGUGAGUGGAACUGCGAGUGUAGAGGUGAAAUUCGUAGAUAUUCGCAAGAACACCAGUGGCGAAGGCGGCUCACUGGUCCGGUACUGACGCUGAGGUGCGAAAGCGUGGGGAGCAAACAGG
rnacentral:rRNA from 1 species